UCAGUGUGUAGUGAACUCCGGAUGACCUCAUACACCAUAAACGAGGCAGACCGUUGAGAGGUCGAGCGUUGCGUGUCGAGUUCGUCCAUGCACAUACCCAGCGUGCUCAAUGUGCUGAGUUCGCAUGCGCGCGCAGGACAGACGCGGCUGUGGUGGUUGACUGUGCCGUCAACCGUAGGCCAACUAUGUCCUGUGCGUGCAGCUCACAACUUACGUGCGGCCGUGGCGGGUACCAUCAUCCGUAGGCUAACGUGGUUUGAGCUGUCAUGCGAACACAACAGCGUGGCACGCCGAACUGUGAUGGGAGUGGUAUGCAGCUGUGAAUCCUCUCGUGUGCGUUUCCACGGCGAGUUUGUCUCAUAGGUGAAAGUCGCGGGUUCCCAGGUGCGGCUCUGGGCUCGUGCGGUACGACGUGUCAGCGUGCGGUCUGCUGCCUAUCGGGCAGUCGGGCAAUCACCGCGGGCAGACAUCAGAUUAAUAUCCUUUUAGCUUCAUGGAUCAUCCGUGAGUUCCU
rnacentral:rRNA from 1 species